UACAGAGACUGCAAGCGUUAUUCGGAUUCACUGGGCGUAAAGGGUGCGCAGGCGGCCAAGUGUGUGAGGCGUGAAAGCCCGGGGCUCAACCCCGGAAUUGCACCUCAAACUACAUGGCUAGAGCAUUGGAGAGGGUAGCAGAAUUCAUGGUGUAGCAGUGAAAUGCGUAGAGAUCGGCAGGAACACCCAGGGGGAAACCAGUCGACUGGGCAUCUACUGACGCUGAGGUGCGAGAGCGUGGGGAGCGAACCGG
rnacentral:rRNA from 1 species